rnacentral:rRNA from 1 species
GGCAGACGGGUGAGUAAUGCGUAGGAAUCUACCUAGUAGUACGGAAUAGCCAUUAGAAAUGGUGGGUAAUACUGUAUAAUCCCCGAGGGGGAAAGAUUUAUCGCUAUUAGAUGAGCCUACGUUAGAUUAGCUAGUUGGUGAGGUAAUGGCUUACCAAGGCUAUGAUCUAUAGCUGGUCUGAGAGGACGAUCAGCCACACUGGAACUGAGAUACGGUCCAGACUCCUACGGGAGGCAGCAGUGGGGAAUAUUGGACAAUGGGCGAAAGCCUGAUCCAGCUAUGCCGCGUGAGUGAAGAAGGCCUUCGGGUU